GGCUGCUGUCCUUGUGCUGAGCGCUGAUGCCAGCCUGGGGGGCCAAGACUUCAUCUGCGUGGCCACCCACCCACUGCGGGUGGCUGCUGCUCAGUGUCACCUCCGGCUUGACAUCCCCAAGCUGGAGGUGGAGCGGAGCGAGGUGGCGGUGCUGGAGGGUGGUGAGGCGCGGCUGGCGUGCCGGUGGUGCGGUGUCACCCACCUGGGUGCCGAAAUGGUCUGGUACGACCCCCAGGAGCGGGAGGUGCCACCGGGCAUGGCUAAGUACUGGCUGGAGCAGGAUGAAGCGUGGGCCAACCUCACUGUCCGGGAUGCCGAGUGGCCGGGGGAUGGUGGGACCUACCGCUGCACUGCAGCCAACGCCGUGGGCACCACCAGCCUCCCCGUCCACCUCCGUGUAGACCGGUACCCAGCCCCUCCCAACGUCACCAUCAGCAAGCUGCGGUACACGCGGGCACGAACCGAGGUGCGGCUGGAGUGGCGGACGCAGGGCACGGGCAACCUCACCGGCUUUGUGGUGCAACGGCGGCAGGCAAAGAAGCCCCAGCGCCGGGCCCCAGGCCCCUGGGAAACAGCCGCCGGUGACAUCGAGCCCCACUCCCGUGACCGGCGCCUGGGGGGGCUGGACCCCACUGUGGUCUAUGCCUUCCGCGUCCUGGCUGUCAACCACCGCACGGCCGGGCACCCCUCUGAGGUGCAGACGCCAGCUGAGCCUCCCUUCGAGGCACUCCCCGCAGUGACGGGGGCGGCGGUGGUGGGGAUGCUGGUGGCCACUGCGGUGUCUCUGCUGGCUGUGCGCUGCGUCGCCCGCCACCGGGACAACCUGCCACGGCUGCACAACCUACUCUUCCACACGGCCAGCCCUGAAGCCCCAGAGAUCCCCAGCACGACCGAGGAUGCUCCAGGAGCCACAAACAGGGAGGACAGAGCAGAACAGGGACAGGGAGAUGCAGGUGGCCCCAGCACAACAGCCUCAGCAGAGCCUCUCUCAGCCCUGCCAGAUGCUGCCGCUGCCGACCUGCCGGUUGAUGUCCCCAUCGUGGUGAUGGCCACGCCAUGA
rnacentral:lncRNA from 1 species